CAAUAUAAAGAUGUCUCGAGUCAGUGCUCCCUAGACCUUGGGAUAUUAGUGAUGAAGAGGUUGCUAAGAUAAAGAUGUCCCAGAUUGGGCUUUCUAGACCACUCGUCAUAGAAGUAGAAGAAAAAGACGUGACUCCUGAAAAAUUGGCACGAAAGAAAUUUCCAGGAAAAUUAGCCCAAGAUCCAUAUGUGGAAGAUUUUGAUUCGGGGACAUCUAAGUGUAUUUUUGAUAUCAAGCAUCCUUUCAUGAGCGACAUUGAUGAAUUUUACCCCUUGUCGGAUUUGGCCCAAGAGUUUAUGGAAUUCGUUGAGGAUGGGAUGAUUAUGACAUGAUGUCCCAAAACUCUGUAUCGUGACGGAAAAAAUGAUCUCCCCAAAGAUUUUGUUUUUGGCUCGUGUCAUAUAAACACGAAGGACUGGUUCGAGGCGCUUGCACAUAGUGGUCGACCAUUGAAAGACACGCAUUUGGAUGUCAUAUUUUACUAUCUGAGGAAGAAGGCAAAAUAUGGACCUACUCUUGUCGUAAAGUUUCCUAUAACUGACUUUUAUCUCAGUAAGAAGCUUUAUUUACUCUAUAUGGAGUUUGAGAAAAAAGGUCAAGAUUUUUCUGUGAUCCCAAAAGAGCAUGAAGUAGAAGAGUACAUUAGAGGUUGUUGUUGUGAUGCAAAUGUAGCUUGGCACAAAGUUGAUCAUGUGUUGUUCCCGAUUUAUGUUGAUCAGGGAAAAUCUAAAUUGGUACAUUGGGUUUUGGGUGUCUUUACCUUCAGUGAUUGGUGCUUCCAUGUGUACGACUCCUAACGUGAUUAAAAAAAUGAUCAACUUGUUAUGAAAACUCUGUUACCUUACAAAACAUUGCUACCAUACUUUCUAUAAAAGUCCAAAUUU